CUCUCUUUCACUCUCUCUGUUUCUCUUUCUCUAUAUCUCACCCGUUCGAUUUCUUUGCGCAUGCGCAGCGUCGAAGACAAACACACGCAUGCGCUGUCUCCGUCUCCGUCGCCGUCAGCGACUCCGCGCAAAAGUGAAAAUAUUUGGAGAAAUUUCUUGAGCAGAAUUUCAGUUGCCAGUUUUUUGUGUGUCAGCUUUUAAUAAGUAACCAAAAAAAAAAUAACAAAAAUAGCGGAAAAAAAAAACACAAAUUAUAAUCACGUUUAUUCAAUGAUUGACCCGCUGCGAUAAUAGUGUUAAUUUCAAUUCCAAAUUCAACGAAACAGAAACAAUUUACGAUUCGCUGGCCUCCUAAAACGAAAGUGUUUGCUUACAAAUGUCAUUGACCCAAUUUUAAACUCGCGCAACGUUCACAGCCGGAAACAGCAGCACCCACAGCUACAAUCGAUAAUCGAUAAUUAAUAAUCGAUAAGCAAGCAAAUUGCAAAUCGCGUCUACAAGCUUCAGUUGGCGGCGUUUUGUUGAUUUGUUGUUGGUUUUUUGUUUCUUAACAUAUCGCUUUUUGACAAAACUUAGCAGCUCUUCAGCUUUUGUCGCCUCUUCCACAUAAGCACAAGAAACACACAUCCAUAAGGACAACUAGUAGGAUACACAUGCGGACAGGACUCUUCCUGUUUGGCUCCAUCUACGGGAACCUACUUUCCAAUUGCUAAGCAACUAAAGUCGACAGCAACACGAAAAUGGAAGAAUGCUUAACGGCGGCAGCAGCACGAACAUUUUCAGCGAAAUUCUGUGAAAUUUGAAUUGCAUAUAUAAAUAUAUAUAUGUUAACCAGUACAAUAAUUAGCUAAAGGAGCCAAUUAGCUGCGUUGUGUUCCAAGUAAACAACAGAAAACUUCCCUCAAAAAAUAUAAAAAAAAACUUACACAGAAAAAGGCAAAUAGCGAAAAGCGAAGCGAAACUUGAACAAUAAAAACACAUUAAUUUUAGCUGAAGAACAAAUUGAAAAGCGCACAUUGCAAAUGAAUUGAACUGCUUCCUAACUUAUAAUAUAUAUUAACAAAAAGAAACAAACAAUAACAAGAACCACACGUAACGGCAGCAGCAGCAGCAA
rnacentral:misc_RNA from 1 species